ACGACCUUACUUGAACAGGAUCUGUUCUAUAGAUCGUACCACUGUGUCCUUGAGUGUAAAGGAGACAGGCAACAAAAUCUGGUUGAUGACAUGUGAUCUCGGGAUCAGGGGCAUGAUUAACGGCAAAGGUUCUUUGGAACCGGUUGCUGUGGAGGAUUGUUCUCACCAGAUAUGGAUCUGGUGGGGUGGUCUUGAGAUUGUCUGACAGACC